rnacentral:rRNA from 1 species
CACGUAGGCACCAAGCGUUGUCCGGAUUUAUUGGGCGUAAAGAGCUCGUAGGCGGUUCGGUAAGUCGGGUGUGAAAUCUCUGGGCUCAACCCAGAGGGGCCACCCGAUACUGCUGUGACUAGAGUGCGGUAGGGGAGUGGGGAAUUCCUGGUGUAGCGGUGAAAUGCGUAGAUAUACGGAGGAACACCAGCGGCGGAAGGCGGGUAGCUGGGCCAACACUGACGCUGAUGUGCGAAAGCUAGGGGGAGCAAACGGG